rnacentral:lncRNA from 1 species
CUGAUUUGAAAAUAACGGUUGCCUAAGUUGAGGGAGAGGACCAGCAGAUCCUCGAGUGAAAUCAGGUGAUAUGUGUAGUCCUGGCUGAUUAAUCUGAUUGCUUAAUAGAGGUCUUGGGAAUCCUUGAUUAACAGGUGGGGGGUUUGUACUGUCUAUUGCUGGUCGUAGAUAAGGGUGCAUCAUCUGGUUUGGAGGUGAAAAUUCCUGAGAACCAAAUUGACCAGCUGGCCUGGAAACAACUUGAGAGGCUGGAUUCUGUGGAUGGUGAGGCUGGAAUGUAAAAUUCAGGAUCACUCUCUUGUUUCUCUACCAUUGCUGGAUUACCACCAGGAUGAGGACGCCGAGGAACAGAAGUGGGCGAGAAGGGAUCAUAUAUUUGAUGUGCUCCAGAGGAGCUGGAAGCUGGCCUACUGUGUUGAAAGAAGACAUUGUUGGGGUCGAAGCAUGGCAGUUGGAUUAUUUUGCUGAAGAGGCAUGGGGUUUCCUACUCUAGGACAGAAAGAACCUACAGGAUUCGGAGCUGGACUAAAGUUCAGAGGUUGCAUUUGAGGGCCAGAAGGUGAAGCUAUACCCUGAUUUGAAAAUGCUGGGUGCCUAAAUUGAGGGAGAGGGCCAGCAGGUCCUCGAGCGAAAUCAGGUGACAUGUGUGGUCCUGGCUGAUUAAUCUGAUUGCUUAAUAGAGGUCUUGGGAAUCCUUGAUUAACAGGUGGGGGAUUUAUACUGUCUUUUGCUGGACGUAGAUAAGGGCGCAUCAUCUGGUUUGGAGGUGAAAAUUCCUGAGAACCAAAUUGACCAGCUGGCCUGGAAAUUUGAGAGGCUGGAUUCUGCGGAUGGUGAGGCUGGAAUGUAAAAUCAAUACUGGCCUGCAGUGGUUUUGGAGCUCCAGAGGAAGGAGGUCUCA